CCCAGACUCCUACGGGAGGCAGCAGUGGGGAAUAUUGCACAAUGGGGGAAACCCUGAUGCAGCAACGCCGCGUGAGUGAAGAAGUAUUUCGGUAUGUAAAGCUCUAUCAGCAGGGAAGAAAAUGACGGUACCUGACUAAGAAGCUCCGGCUAAAUACGUGCCAGCAGCCGCGGUAAUACGUAUGGAGCAAGCGUUAUCCGGAUUUACUGGGUGUAAAGGGAGCGCAGGCGGUACGGCAAGUCCGAUGUGAAAACCCGGGGCUCAACCCCGGGACUGCAUUGGAAACUGCCGCACUAGAGUGCCGGAGAGGUAAGUGGAAUUCCUAGUGUAGCGGUGAAAUGCGUAGAUAUUAGGAGGAACACCAGUGGCGAAGGCGGCUUACUGGACGGUAACUGACGCUGAGGCUCGAAAGCGUGGGGAGCAAACAGGAUUAGAUACCCUUGUA
rnacentral:rRNA from 1 species